AUUCUUUAGUAAGCCAGAGGAAGAAAGUGUAUGUAUAUCAAGAAUGGAAAAAAAAACCAGUCAAGUUAAUCUGUGCGGUAUUUCCACUUUUCUGUAAGAAUACAACUUGUAUGCACAUGAGCUCUGAACCUUUGCCCAUGGAUAAAACUAAGAAGAAACACACUCUGAAUCUACCAAAAUUAUGCUUAGCCUCCAAAAUAAUAAGCAAUGAAGUUAUGCUGCCAGCAAAUGUAGACUGAGAUGCAGGAUUGGGAGGUGCUGCCACGUGAAGCAAGCAUGGGCCCCCUUCUACCUUGUCGUUGCUAGCAUGGCACAGUAUUUAUUCUUAGCUUCCUGGCCUUGGUGUGCUAGAUCAACACUUUUUAUUAUCUUUAGUCUCAAAACUCCAGGGCCAGGAAAUCACAACUCUCCAAGAGG